rnacentral:misc_RNA from 1 species
GAUUAAUACUAUAAUAUAAAUAAGAUCAAAGUUCAAAUCUGGAGACUGUUAGAAGGAUUUUAUCUAAAAACCAACAGCUAACAGCAUUGGAUUCCCCAUAGAAGUCAAGAAGUUUGACCUGUGUGCAGCAACUGCCACGUCUACACAAGGGAUAGUAAGACUAUUACUAUGGGAUCAUCCUAUAAUUUCAAGAAGAUCAGGGGUAUAAACAAAUAAAAUCGGAAUGUAAGGGCAUCAAAGCAAAAACAAAAGGCUCUCAAGUCGUUGCUGCCUCGUUGGCGAGUGGCGACAGUCUUUUCUCGUCUUAAGAAUGCCGGUGUCAGUCGCCCAAACGGCUAGCUCAAAAGCUUCACUUUUCUCACUCGCUCCAUCUCUAUCUCUACACGCCGCCACUGUAAUUCAGUGAAGUCACUGAAAUUAAUAAUUAAAAAAAAUAGAAAAAAGCAAAUAAAAUUACUAAACCUGCAAAAAAUAAAGCCAAGAAGCAAAGUGUAUAUAUCAAGCUGACACCAUAUACCCACAGCUC